CAAUAUAUUUUUCUUAGCUAUUCAUCUUUAAUUUAAUGCAAAAUAUACAAUAUAAAUUAUUUAGUAUUUGUACUUAGACAUGCAAAACAAAUUCGUAUGAUUACGCUCCUAAACCCUAUGCUUCCUAUACUCUAAAUAUGGCACAAACAAAGAGCCCAUCAUCUAAUUAGAAGUAAAACAAUUAAAUAAUUUUUAGCCCAAACAAUGAGCCCAACAACUAAAUAGAAGUGAAACCUUACUAUUUCAAAAUCAUGUUUCAGAUAUUAGAUAGGGUAGCGGCGCCUUUGUCACUAUCGGUCUCACUGUUCUCGGCUGGCAAUGGCGGCGCCGGUGAGCGGCGCCGGCCGCCUAUCGUUCUUCUUUCUCUCCUUCUCGCGGUUCCACCUCUCGGCCACCGGCUUGAGGACUCCUCCACGCCACCCAACUGCCAUCGCCGGUCACCAACCCCUCUCUCUCUCGUAACUCUGAGGUAUUGGGCUUGUCGGCGUACGAGUCCAGCCGCCACCGCCGUCGGCCCUCCUGUACCGCCACCGUUGGUCACUAAAAGUUAAAUUUAAGAUCAACAUAUUUCAGGCUGGAGGAUCAUGAAAGGAGGAGGGAGAGCAUGAAAAACAGGAAAUUUCAAGAACUUUUGCAGUUUCAUGAGAUGAUUACUAGAGAGGCUUCGGGCCAUGGAAGCGACAACCAUGGAGGAGGUGUUAGUGUUAUUAAAACUGAGUUUUAUCCCCGCAUUUCCCUACCCAGUACUGCAAAAGCUGCAUAAGUUGGUCACUAUGUUCUAAGCUUCAGUUUUUCUUCUAUUGUUGCUUUUCAAUAUGAAUCUUAUGAGAUGGGAAAUUCUACAUUCGAAUAUGGUUGCUCUA